rnacentral:rRNA from 1 species
GCCAACGGCCAUAACACGUGAACACACCAGUUCUCGUCCGAUCACUGAAGUUAAGCAAGUCGGGCCCGGUUAGUACUUGGAUGGGUGACCGCCUGGGAACCCCGGUGCUGUUGGUA